UCUAUUAAUAAAUAUAUUUAUCAUCAUCAACGAUGUAUUGCAUAUAUCUUUCUUACAGAGGGUUCCAGAUUUAGUCGAUGUAUCACGAUUGUAUGGCAACACUUUAAAUCCAUGACGAAUACAUAGCGUCAAUGGAAAUACCCGAGAAAAAAACACGCCCACACUACUUUCGAUUUCGCUUUAAUACACAUAGAAUCAAUUAAAACAGAUGUCAACGAACGGUAUUUUAAUGCCAGUUAAUAUAUUGUUAUCAUUAACUUCUCUUGUAAUAUGCGAAGAAUAAUACAAUCAGGAUGUAGAGCUUAGACUACAUGAAUUCAGGGUUCAUCAUGCGGCUGUUCUUUCACAGUUUCCAGGGAUGUGAUUGAUUUUAUCAAGUAGCGUCGAUGAAUUCUUGGAGAGAGGAGUAAGGGCCUUAAGAAGAUCUUCUUGAUGAGUAAACGGAGACUGGUUCUUUCCAUUGGCAAUGUCCAGAAGAGACUGAUAAGUGUAGAUUCUGGCCCUUGCCUUGUUAUUCAGGGGAAAGCCUGCAGAGCCAGGGAGCACAAGGAAGUGAAAACUGUGGAUCAGAAACGAUCGCUCUGGAAAAAGGAGUGAGUAGUGUCGUUCGCCCUGGGUGAGGGACAUGCUGGCAAAUUCAACAGCCAGAAGACACUGGUCUGGGGUGAGUCUUCUCCAGUUCUUUGGGGGCCACAAAAGAUUGGGAAGAAGAACGACAGACUCUUCUUCAACAAUUGCCCAGUCACGUUUGUUUUGCAGAUGGAAAUAGAGGCAUGUUGCCAUUAACGAGCAGGGAUCUUGCUUUAAAUCUAAGAAGUGUUGCAGUAGGAGUAGGUGUGUAGAGGUUGUCAGCUGGAUUUGGAGUGGCAAUGGUGUAUAAAUCAUCCUGGGCUAGUGGAGUUGGAUCGUAGUUGGGUGUUUCUGGUGGAAGAUCUUGAAGAUUGUUGGAAUGAAGAGCAGGUGUGCGGAGAUCAUCUUAAAGAGGUGAAGGAGGAGCGUAAAUGUGUGUCAAUAGUUGAGUAUCUUGAAGAGUAGAGGUGUUCGUUUGAAGCGGGGAUGCGGGAACAGGUGCAGGAAGUUCAUCUAAUAAUGGUGUUGCAGGAGUAGCUGGUCGUGCUUUAACAAUGAUGGAAGGUUCUUGCAGGGGUGUUUGCGGUCGAUGAGUAGGUGGCUUGUUGAUGGUCGAUGAAGAUGAGGAAGAUAGUGUCGUGUUGGUGAUUUCAUCAGAGUGAAGAGAAAUUGGAGAAGGUGAGCGGAGAGAUUUGCAUCUUUAUCAUCAGCCAUGCAGAAGGCCUUAACAAUUAUGUUAUCCUUUCUUCUGAUGGUAUGGUUGUAGGACGAUCUUAUGCCAAGAAGUCAGGCGAAUUCUUCUAUCAUGGGUGCGUUGUUUGAGAAUGUUGACCACCGGCUGGUUGGUUCUAUGGCAUCCUUAACGAGUGAUUGACGUUGCUUAAGAUUGUCCAACGCGCGGCGAUCCGUGAAGAUAUUUCUGGACAGACGAACUUGAAGUACUUCAGAUACAGAUUCGGCAAAUGCCUUGAUGGAGUACAGAGUGGUCACAAUGGCUAAAAGGAACAGAGAGUGUGUGGCUUUUCUUUUGAUAGGACGUUGAGGUUUGCUUAGCGCUUCUUCCCUCUUGGAAGUCCUCUCCUCGAUGCCUGGGGUUCUUCCAGUGGACCACUUUGCCAUUAGAUAUCUUGCGUUCUGGACCUCAGCUGAAAUUUCCUUGUCAACAUCGUGAAGCUUAGCAUAUUCAAGAGGAUUGAUAGAAAAGAAGAUGCAGGUUUUAGCAGAAAAUAGGCCUUUUGGAGCAACCUCCAUUUCAGCUGGGUGCUUCGUCUUAACGUGAUGACGUAGAUCUCAAACUCUUUUGAAUUCUCUUUUCUUGUCUUACACGCAGAAAGGACACAGAACAUCGUCAUCAGGUACCUUUUAUGAACUCUGAAAUAUACAAAGUCUUGUCUAAGCGCUGGUAGAUAUAAAGUAUGGUGCACAUCUGAUGUCUAGCAGAAACAACAAUCAACACGGGAUAAAUCUCAGUUGCGUGAUCAGACCAACUUCAUUAUCUCCAGAGAGCUCUCAAUUGCGCGCGCCUUUGAUUAUAAAAUACGUACAUCAGCUUUAUGUGACCACCGUGCACUAAAUUCGUCUACCACGAAUAGGUUGAUCUGAGUCAUCACCCUGGGGUGACAGACCUAUGCAUGCUUGUGAAGGCAAGACAAUGUCGCGACCGAAAACCAUCCGAUUUGGUGUUUGUCCAGUACUAGAGUUAAAUAAUGAGCGGUACGCCAUCAUAACCUGGGGAAGAAAAGUAACCCAAGCCCUUUGAUUUUAUGAGCAGUACAUGGUUAACAUAGUUCCAAGUGUUUGAUUAAAUCGUUAAACCAUUCCAUUGGAUUGUGGAUGAAGAGCUGUUAAAGUUGUGUGCUUAAUGUGAAGCAGUGCACACAUGUCAUUAAAUAAAGAAGAAGUGAAAUUACUGCCUUGAUCGGAGUGAAUUGACUAAGGAACUCAUAAUCUUGAAACAAAUUACUAAAACAUUUGAAUUACCAGAUUUUGAUCUCGGGAGUGGCCCAUAAAUAUCCACGGCAACACGUUCGAGUGGACCUAAUACUACCGAGUGUCCAAGAGGUGACUUUGUUGGUUUGCUUUUUUUACGAGCUGCACAUUGGGUACAUUGAAGACAAUAUUUUUCAACAAACUCUUUCAUACCUGGCCAAUAGAAAAUCUGACAAACUUUUGCAAAUGUUUUAUCAGCACCUAAAUGACUACCUGAAGGUAUAUCAUGAAAAUAAUAUAUAACAUCAGUGUAAAUAAUAAAUGUUUGCAGUUUAUCAUCAUUUUCAUACCAUUUACGACAAAGGAGACCUUGUGAUAUUCUCAACUGAUCCAUCAUGCGCCACAGUGUUUUGACGGUAGAUGAUUUGUCUCUGACUGCUUUGCAUGGUGAUAGCUCUGGUGAUUGUUCUAAAAACUGGAUAAUAACUUAAGAUCUGGAUCACAUAGUUGUUUUUCUCGAAUGUGAUCAGCUGACAAGUUUGGAAUAUUACCCAAAGUUGACUUCAACAGAAUAUUAGAAGAAUCAGGAGCUUGCUUAACAACUCUACUUGGAAUAGAGGAUUGACCAUUUUAAACAUCAGAUGCUGUCAUCAUUGUGAGAGGCGCUGCUACUUCUCCUUGUGGAACUUGUUGCAGAUUUCCACUCUCCUGUUUAGCACACUUUGAACAAGGGGAGCGUGACAAUGCGUCUGCAUUUCUGUGUGUGAGACCUGCACGAUGAGUGACUGUCAAAUCGUAUGUGCCCAACUCUUCCAACCAGCGCGCAACUUUGCCAGUCGGAUUCUUGAGAUUUCGAAUCCAGCUGACCGCAGCAUUGUCUGUUCUCAAAAGUAUCGGCUGACCAUAGAGAUAACAGUGAAACGAUUUUAGUGCUUGCACAACAGCCAAAAUUCUUUCCAUUUAACGCAAUGUGAGCGUUCAUGGUCAUUAAGAGACUUGCUGUGAUAAGCAAUAACUACUUCAACAUUAUUUUGUACUUGAGACAGAACUGCUCCAGUAGCAAAAACAUUAGCAUCCGUAUCAAGAAUGAACUUUGCACCUGGUAUUGGAUAGCCAAGAAUGGGAGAAGAAAUAAGAGCAGAUUUCAAAGUUUGAAAUGCACAUUCGCAUUCAGUGGUCCACACAAAUUUUACGGACUUAUCAGAAACCUUAUUUAAGGGUUUUGCUAUUGCAGCAAAUCCUUUUACAAAACGUCUGUAAUAGGAACAGAGACCCAAGAAACUCUUGACUUCUUUUGCAGUACUGGGUGUUGGCCAGUCCUUGACAGCUGUUAUCUUUGCAGGGUCAGUUUGGAUACCAGCUUCGGACACAAUAUGUCCUAAGAAUUUAACUUCUAUUUGAAAGAAGAUACAUUUUGAUGGCUUAAGCUUCAAAUUGGCUUGCUGAAGACGUUUGAAGAUAUUUUCUAACCUUAUUAGCCCAUCGGAUAUUGUGGAGCAUGGGGAUAUGAUAUCAUCCAUGUACAAGAAACAUAUUACUCAUUGCAGACCUCUGAGUACAUUUUCCAUCAACCUCUCAAAUGUAGAAGGAGCAUUAGCGAGACCAAAACUCAUGACCGUGAACUGGUACAAUCCCAUGGACGUUGCAAAUGCAGUCUUCUCUUUGUCACUAUCUUUCAUGCUUACCUGCCAGUAGCCACUGUUUAGAUCCAUUGACGUCAAUGCAGUCAUCCACUCUUGGGAGAGGAUAUGCGUCUUUUACUGUAACGUCGUUGAGUCGCCUAUAAUCAAUUCAAAACCGCGGUGUGCCGUCCUUUUUGGUUACUAACACUUCUGGGGAUUCCCCAAGCACUGAUAGAUGGCUCAAUUAUGCCUCUGUGUAACAUGUUAAAUAUCUCCUCCUUUUUAAUGGCCCUUUUACCAAGUGGUAACCGACGAGGUGGUUGUCUGAUGGGGGCUGCAUUUCCAGUAUUUAUGGCGUGCUGUACUAAAUUAGUACGACCUAUGUCCUCAGGUGAAGAGGAGAACACGCUGCUAUAUUUGCAAAGGAGGCUGUUGAAAUCAGCUUUUUCUGACUCAUUAAAAAGAACAGUGCUACGUUCAAAAUGUUCUGUCAAAUGUGAAGAAAGUGAUUGACAGUGCUCUUGCUCUGUAACUCGUGCAGUGCGUGGACCAUCGCUGCUCUCGUCAAACGACUCACAUGUACCUAACGCUGUCUUUGCAUAUAAAGUAGCAGGCUCUGACCCAAAAUUAAUGACACUAACAUUUGCAUCCGAAUUUGAAACAUCGAUAAUACCACCAACAGCACAAAACUCAUUUUUACUUAUCAGAUCAAAAGAGGGCUCAAUAAAACCUGUUGGACCCAAAUGUUCUGAGAACGGUAUGUUUACCGGAAUCUAUGCACGGGAGCGUGCCGGGAUUUUGGUGAUAUUUCGCACCUCAACUCUACAAAUUUGUAAAGCAGUGCCACCCAUCCACAAAUGAAUUGUUUUACUCCCAACAGUUAGACAUGAACGUCUAUAGCUAAUACUAUCAACAUUUUCGCUAAGAAAAUCUUGGCCAAUAAUACAAUCAGAUUCAAUAUCACACACAAUAAAUUGAACAACAAAUGAAAUUAAACUUAACUUGAUUGUCAACUGCACUCGGCCAAAAACGAUCAUAUUUUCGCCAUUAACCGUGUGAAACGUUUGCUGCACUGGUAAUACCGAAAUGUCAUUUUCUUUCUGCAACUCAGAAAAUUUUCUACUUGAAAUCAACGACAUUGUUGCGCCGCAAUCAAUCAAAAAAUUACACAACACUAUUUAAAAUUGUACCAGAAGCAUACAAACCAUUUUCAUAUUUACUAAUAUCUGCUCCAGAACGAGCAGUAUGAAUUCCGACAACCGGAACAUUAUCACAUUGAAUGGGUCUCCCAAGUGAUUUCGCUGACACUUGACCCUCGGCACCAGCUACAAUUAGUUUUCCGAGUUUGAUUGACGGGGGUUAGAACGAGAUGGAACAUCAGGGACCAGGGGCAAUGGUCGGGGAUAGGGAGAACGGAAGUCAUUAUUCGCUCUAUCAUCUCGACCAGGUCUCGAGGAGGGACGACAAAAUUGCGUUGAUCAUUGGCUUCAAACGUAUUGUUUACGUUUUUUGGACAAUUGCGCCAUAAAUGCGACGGCGAAUUGCAUCCGAAACAUCCACGUUGUGACCUACUCGGCAUUGAACGUUGAUCAGGGGGACAAUGGGAACAUACUUUUUCAAUAUGUUCGAUUCGGGCCUCGAGCCGCUGAAUAGCAGUAAAAAUAUGUGAUUCAUACUGUGAAGCAUCGUGAACAUCCAAGGCGCGGACAGGGGUUGAUUGGGGAUUGCAAAGGAUAGCCUCGUAGCGUUCUAUGACGCUGACGGCGUCGUGAACUGUGUGACAGUUGUUGUCAAUGCAACGGCAGUGCAUAUCGCCUGAAAUUUGCUUGUAUAGCUGAUUUAGUGCUAAUCGCUCAACUGCAAUGCUAUCAAGAUCAGCAUACGCUUUUUGUGCAAGCUGUCUGAUAUCGGCUAAAAAAGCAAGGGAUUCGCCACGCAUACGCCGUCGGUUCUCAAAUUUGGAUAACCACAAGUUUUGAUGUUUACUGCUACCAAAUCGCUGGGAGAGCCUGGACGUCAGUGUUUCAUAGUCACGACGUUCGGUUCUGAUAAGCUCAUGUAGUAGUUACAAGCUGCACCGCGGAGACUGCUUGCUAAUACUAGGACAUCCGUUCUAUAAUCCCAAAACGAGAGUUCAGCACAAUCCUCGAAAUGGACUGUACUGCUCAAAUUACUUGGUACCAUCAUAACUGUCGGGUUUCAUUAGAAAAUGCUGUAUUGGUACAUUAUACGUCGAGGGGUGGGAACAAUCGCCAUGAUUUCUGCUUACUGGAAUAGAACUUCUAAAUAAAUUGUUGUUUGUCUUAUUGUUACGCAUUUCAGUGGUAGGAUGUGUAUGUUCAGGGUCAUCUGAUAUGGUAUGCUUAUUAUUAAUUUCGUCAACAGUAUUUAGUGAAGAGUGGUCACUUAAAACGCUUCGUCUAUCAAACGAUAUUUCUGGAUCUGGCGAUGCCAUAAUAUAAAGGUGGAGUCUGCCAAUUGUAUUACAGGAGGGUCGUAUUAAAUUAUAAAUUCGGACUUAGAUCUAUCUUUUUAAAACAAUACGUAAAUUCGUCUGUUAUUUCAUUUCUUUUUCUAGGCGUGGGUUUCGAUCACUCGGCUGUUUAUGUAAAUAAAAUUUGCCGCACUUCUGACGCCAAUUGUAGUAUAAAAGUAAUUAAAAGGGAAUUGCAAAUCUUUUUUUUAAUAUGGUUCUACUGCUCGUACACACUCGUUAUUUUCUAUUUCUCUUGGAUUUGCUUUAUCAGUUUUGUAUGACAUAUAAAAGGUCUAUUUUUGCUAUUUACUGCGACAUAUAUCGAAAGGUCUUUUUCUCCGUUAUUGCGUUAUGUUAGUGUAA